CCCUGCUACAAAGGUGUGUCUGUGUUUUCCCAUUUUUGGACAUGUAAGAAUUGGAGGCAAAGAAAUAUAGACUUGGAGAAUUCUGGGGACAGCUUGCUUCUUGCAGGCUCAAGAUCAACCAUCCCACAAAG
rfam:Pteropus alecto contig1407, whole genome shotgun sequence.